AAGCGCCAACAGCUCAAAUUUGAAAUCUGACCCUUUGGGGGUCCCGAGUUGUAAUUUGCAGAGGGUGUUUCGGGCACGGUGCCGGUUUAAGUCCUUUGGAACAGGGUGUCAUAGAGGGUGAGAACCCCGUAUGUGACCGGUCGCCAAACCUAUGUGAAACCCCUUCGACGAGUCGAGUUGUUUGGGAAUGCAGCUCAAAAUGGGUGGUAAAUUUCAUCUAAAGCUAAAUAUUGGCCAGAGACCGAUAGCGCACAAGUAGAGUGAUCGAAAGAUGAAAAGCACUUUGGAAAGAGAGUCAAACAGCACGUGAAAUUGUUGAAAGGGAAGCGCUUGCGACCAGACUUGCUCGCGGGUGAUCAGCGGUGCUUUUCGCGCCGUGCACUCAUCCGCGAUCAGGCCAGCAUCGGUUCAGGCGGCCGGACAAAGACUCGGAGAAUGUAGCUCCCUCCGGGGAGUGUUAUAUCUCCUUGUGCAAUACGACCAGCCGGGACCGAGGACCGCGCUUCGGCUAGGAUGCUGGCGUAAUGGUCGUAAGCGACCCGUCUUGAAACACGGACCAAGGAGUCUAACAUCUGUGCGAGUGUUUGGGCGUUAAACCCAUGCGCGCAAUGAAAGUGAACGUGAGGUGGGAACCCUUUCGGGGGCGCACCAUCGACCGAUCCAGAUGUCUUCGGAUGGAUUUGAGUAAGAGCACAGCUGUUGGGACCCGAAAGAUGGUGAACUAUGCCUGAAUAGGGUGAAGCCAGAGGAAACUCUGGUGGAGGCUCGCAGCGGUUCUGACGUGCAAAUCGAUCGUCAAAUUUGGGUAUAGGGGCGAAAGACUAAUCGA
rnacentral:rRNA from 1 species